ensembl:lncRNA
CCAUGCUGCUCUCGCGGAGGCCUGUCCUCCCGGAAGGGCUGCGUCUCCCAGGGCGGAGGAGAAGUCAGAACGGGAGUCUCUCAGGGCUGCUCGCCGGCUUUGCGAGGGCGGGGAGGAGGGUCAGGAGGGAAAGAGGGUCCCAGUUUGGCUUUUUCCGGCGGUGACGAUGAAGAGCUAUUUCUCUAGGCCUCCAGAACCCAGCGUCUAGGGACGCCCUCUCCACAGCGCCGCCACAGACCAAACCACCUCUGCCGGCGCCCAAGACGCAGUUGACUGUGUGCGCAUGCGCGGACCACGAACAUCAUCUCUGUCCGCCUUUCCCAGGCACGUGCCUUUCCCUCCUCCAGGCCUCCUCAGCUGACCAGGUUGAGGCUCCGGGCUAGUGCGCAGGCGCCGAUCAUUCUUUCCCCACCCUUUCAUCUCCUGGAGAGGGGAGAGCGAGAGCGCAAAGAACCCAGGGAAACUCUUAUAGGAAAACUAAGAGAUAACGUGCGGGAGAAGGCGGGGCUUCCUCCUCCGAAGGCUCGCAGGCAGAGCGCCACGCCUCCAGUGUUGGCGCCCCGCCUCGCCCUUUUCCUUUGGAAUAUCUUUGCUCUCUGGAUCCUUCUGGCAGUUCGGGUGGCUUUGUAAAGAAUCUCUUCCCGGGAAGGUGGGAAGACAGAGGACCACUCUGACUCGAACCAGAAGGCACAGGGCAUGAUGGGGCUGGUGCGGCGGACACAGCUCCGCUCUUCCGAGACCUGAACCUGGGCACCUCCUCAUGGCUCAACUCUUUCCGGGAGCUGGGAAGGCACAGGUCUCACAGGAGCUCAAUGCUCAUGGCAGAUCACCCCAGGAUGACCCCUGACUGGUCCCCCUGGACAUCUCUGCAUUGUCAGCACCAGGAACCUCUUCUCAGUAUACAUGUCCAACAACCUCAUCAUCAGGGAAUGUCUGCAGAGUCUGGAUUGGGGGAAAGGAAUUCCAAACUUUUGACGUGGUUCUCAAUGGCCCCAUUGCUCCUCCACAAGGGCCUCAAACAGGAAAAUGGCUAUACGUGUUCAGAGAAUGAAUAAAAGAAAGCAAGACGGAUAACUGGGUGACACCUGCUUCUGCUCCCGCAUAAUUAAUAUGGGAGUGCUGUGAGUGUGAAGAAAUGGACAUUCACAUACACUUGCAGUGGUGCAUUGGUGCCAUUUUUAUACAAGGUAAUGUGUAGGUUCCUCUCCUAAAUUUUUUGUCUUGAGAAAAAAUUCACAUACCUAAAAUUUACCAUUUUGAAGUGUGAGCCCAUGGGAAUGUGGCCCAUCCAGUCCUUCCAGAGUUCUACUGUGCUGGAGUAUAGACCCAGGGUGGCUAGAUUUCUGCAGAUCCUGUUAAGACGCAAAUUCUGACUUGGCAAGUGUGGGGUGGACCUGAAAGUCUGCAUCUAACAAGCUCUCAGGUGAUGCUGAUCACACUGGCCUGUGGAAUAUAUUUUCAAUACGAAGGCUAAUGGGGACCCCUGUCCCCUGAGAGGAUGACCCACCCAUCCCAGCAUUGACCUCUAUUGUAUCCUGUGUCCUGGCCUUGGGUUCUGUCAGUACCACAUAGAGAACCAGGAGUCCCAAACUCAGGGGAUUAUUUUCUCUUGGGACACAGAAAUCCAGCUGGGCACCAGGAUGUUCCCAGUGUCCUCAAAUGCUCUGGGAAUGCUGGAUUUACUCCUGGCAGGAAGAUCGCAGAGAUGACUCUGGGCAUGAGAAAGGGGCAAGCUGAGUGAUGACCAGUGAGGGUGCCCACCCUCUAUCUCCAGUGUCUCCAGCCUGGCCUCUGCUUUCAGGGAUAGACACUCAAUAUAGGGUGUCACAGGAGCUGCAAUUCUCGGGUGUGAAGGUAGAGGUUUCCCAUGUGUCCUGGGUGAGAGGACAGUGGUGGUGGGAGAUCAGGUGGCUGUGGGCUCCCUGAUCCUUGGGGGAAAGUUUCAGGGAGACCCCCCCACCCAAGCAUGUUGGUUGAGGUGUGGCUCAGAGCCUGUCUAUUUGCUCCCUGAUCAUCCUGGGGGCCCCUGUCCUCUGACUGGCUGACUUUCCUGUGGUCAUUCUGCCUUCCCCAUGGGUGGUACCAGGCAGGGAGUGGGGAGAUGCACACAGACCCCUGACAGAUCAGGGUGCUCUGAGGCCCUUAGAAGGAACGGAUAGGAAGGACCCAGAAGGGUCUUCCUGAGCAAGGGAUAGAAGUCAGGCUCCUUCUUCACCUCCUUAGCCAAAGUCAGGUUCAUGAGUUAAUUUUCUGUGUGUCCCAAUUUCGCCCCCCAAAGGGAAUGCUGCCAGUGUCAGGGGCUGCACCAAGGAUGCUGACCAGGCUCUAGAAGGUGUGCACUGGCACUGGGCCCUGGACAGACAUGAGUUCUGAUCUCCAGGCUGAAGGUCCUCUAAGCCUAGGUCCUGGUCACUGCUGGUUGCGAGGCUGCCCAACUCCAUCCCAGUGUAGGGUGAGCCCAGGGAAAGGACAGGCAUUGUCCAGUGGACUCCUAAUCCAGUGUCCUGUGCUGCCUGGUUGAUGUGCUGCCUCCGGAGAAGCUCUCUGUUCUGGUGGUUUCAAAGGAAGGGUGAGGGGUCUCUUGAGGCUUUCAAGAGAGAGUGAAGGGCUGGUCCCCAGAAUGACCUGUGUUUCCCCAAUCACAGCACUGGGGCAUGGCAUCCGAGUCAUCUGUGUCCCUGUCUGUCAUCUCCUCUAGGCCUUUCCACAGGGCCCAGGACCUAGAUCAGUUCCACAUGAAGACUCAGACAGGGGAUCCUGUGGGUUCCUCUGUUAGGAGAGGGGAGGCUCCAUGGGACCCUCAGCCCCUUUGACAUGGAAGCAAACACAGGUCCUGGUUCUCCUAUCCCAUCCUGCAUUGGAAGUUUCCCUUGUUCACUCUGCUGCCUUGGGCUGGUGAGAUGUCUUCAGGGGACUACAACUAGUGUCCCCACAGACUUGAGACCCUUGAGGUGAGAAGUCACCCCCUGAUUACUCUGAGGUCAGAGUGGGGCUCCCUCCUCCCCUUAGGGUAACUUUACCUGGGGUGGAGAAUCCAGAGUUUGUGUCAGGUCAGGUCUCUGUGAGAAGAGGAAGAACACAGGCUAUCAGCCCAGGCCGUCCAGGGAGAGAAGUCCCUCACAAGGUAGACAUGGGAAGGGGGUGGGAUUUUCUGGAUGAAUGGGGAUCGAACCCCUCACUGUUAGGAGGCCCCUGUCCUCCCUCCUGACUCAACAAGGGGUAAAGGCCUCUCCCCGGGAUAGCCACAGGCCUCCCAUGCUGAUGCCAAUACCCCUGUGUGUACAUGGAAUGUGCUGUGACCUCCAGGUGUCAUACAGGAGUGAAGGGCUUCCAUUGUGUGGUUUCCUCAACCAUUUGAGAAAUUUAUUUGACAUGUUUAUUAAGCAUCUGUUACUGGGUGCAGACAGGGAUGGCUGGAUACCUGGCCUGGCUUAGGUCUGCUCCUUACAGACAUUGUCGCUGGAGUGCAGGCUACUGUUCAGAGUCCCCACUUGGGCACAAGGAAGGGAUCCGAUGUCUCCAUGUCUCAUCAGGGAUUAAUUGUGGUGGCCUGCUCUCUGGAUCUGCCUCCUGCUCUCAUUUCCAGUUCCUGUCAAACCUCUGCCUCCCAUCCUGGCACUGCCUGAGGCCUCAGCACUGCCUCUCUGGCACUGGGGUCUGGACACUGUCAGGUACUGAGCUGACCAAACCCUCUGUCUCAUGUGACCCUCCUGGUGUUGGAGAGAAGGGCCAGGUGAUGGGAUCAGGGCUGCCUCCUGGGAAAGCACCUCCAAAUCUCGGUGUCUUUAUAAAUCCAUGGAGGCAAAAUGCAAGGUUAUAUGAGAAGAACUGCAUAAGUGCACCAUGACCCAGAGGGUCACUGGAACAGAAUUGUUGACUAGAAUCACAGGGUACAGCCUGCCAGGGGUGCCAGAAUCUUCUAAGAGCAGCUACUGUGUGCCAGGUAUUGUGCUGGGUGCUUGACACAAAGAUGCAUGCGGUCCUUACAACAACCUUAUGAGGCAGGUACUCUUAGUGUACCUAUUUCACAGAGGAGCAAAGCAAGGCUCACAGAUACUGUUACUUGCCCAUGUCACCCAGCACCCAGUGAGUACCUGGUACCAUAAGGAGCUAGAGUGACAUGUGUGCCUCUAGGGGCUCACUUGUCACCUUAUCCUACAAGGAAAACCCCACUGCUUAAUCGUCCACGUGCCUAAAAUUCAAAUCACUUUUAAUUGUUUUUGUGUAUAUUUGUUUGCAUCCAUUUAAAUACUGUAAAAUUAAAAACAAUUUAAAAUAAAACAUAUCCAAUUGGAAUAACUUUCAUGUGUUAGUUGUGCUUUAAAAUCUUUAAAAUGUUAAAAAAUGGUGGGAACAAAAUGGAUCCCUG